UACGUAGGCUCCAAGCGUUGUUCGGAAUUACUGGGCGUAAAGCGAGUGUAGGCGGUCUGUCAAGUCGAUUGUGAAAUCUCCCGGCUCAACUGGGAGGGUGCGGUCGAAACUGACAGACUAGAGUUCGGGAGAGGAGAGUGGAAUUCCUGGUGUAGCGGUGAAAUGCGUAGAUAUCAGGAGGAACAUCGGUGGUGAAGACGGCUCUCUGGACCGAUACUGACGCUGAGACUCGAAAGCGUGGGGAGCAAACAGG
rnacentral:misc_RNA from 1 species